rnacentral:rRNA from 1 species
UAUUAGGCAGUCCCUUGCCAACAUUAUCUGAUCUUGGAAGCUAAAGAGAGUUGGAUAUGGUUAGUACUAAGACAGGAGACUACCUGGGAAUAGCAGAUGCCNUAAGCU